UCCUACGGGAGGCAGCAGUGGGGAAUAUUGCACAAUGGGGGAAACCCUGAUGCAGCCAUGCCGCGUGUGUGAAGAAGGCCUUCGGGUUGUAAAGCACUUUCAGUAGGGAGGAAGGUAGUGUAGUUAACACCUGCACUAUUUGACGUUACCUACAGAAGAAGCACCGGCUAACUCCGUGCCAGCAGCCGCGGUAAUACGGAGGGUGCGAGCGUUAAUCGGAAUUAUUGGGCGUAAAGCGCGCGCAGGUGGUUUCUUAAGUCUGAUGUGAAAGCCCACGGCUCAACCGUGGAGGGUCAUUGGAAACUGGGAGACUUGAGUGCAGAAGAGGAAAGUGGAAUUCCAUGUGUAGCGGUGAAAUGCGUAGAGAUAUGGAGGAACACCAGUGGCGAAGGCGACUUUCUGGUCUGUAACUGACACUGAGGCGCGAAAGCGUGGGGAGCAAACAGGAUUAGAUACCCUGGUAGUCCACGCCGUAAACGAUGAGUGCUAAGUGUUAGAGGGUUUCCGCCCUUUAGUGCUGAAGUUAACGCAUUAAGCACUCCGCCUGGGGAGUACGGCCGCAAGGCUGAAACUCAAAGGAAUUGACGGA
rnacentral:rRNA from 1 species